rnacentral:lncRNA from 1 species
GUGAUAACAGACUUUUUACAACAGACGAUACUGGAACUUCAGCUCGUGGGAAGCACAAAUUGGAUAGAACUCCAAAUAGUAAGCGGAGAAGAAAGAGUAACCAAUCCAGUUUUGCUGAAACUUGUAGAGCCAUACAAUAUUUUCUAAAAGUUAAGUCAUCAAGUCCAUCUGGUGAUGGCUCUGCGAGCUCAGCGACUUCACAACCACCUGUAGACCCUUUCUCCGUAUCUACUAUGGUCCAGAUUCUAAACAAUAUGCCCGAGAUAGAGC